GUUUGAUCAUGGCUCAGACGAACGCCAUGCGGGAUGCUUACACAUGCAAGUCGAACGGCAGCACGGACUUCGGUCUGGUGGCGAGUGGCGAACGGGUGAGUAAAUGGAACGUCAGUAGCGGGGGAGCAACUACGCGAAAGCGUAGCUAAUACCGCAUACGCCCUUCGGGGAAAGCGGGGGACCUUUCGCCUCGCACUAUUAGAGCGGCCGAUAUCGGAUUAGCUAGUUGGUGGGUAACGGCUCACCAAGGCGACGAUCCGUAGCUGGUUUGAGAGGACGACCAGCCAACGGAUUUCGAGAUACGGCUCCGUGACUCCUACGGAGGCAGCAGUGGGGGAAUUUUGGACAAUGGGGGAAACCCCGAUCCAGCCACUUCCGCGUGUGUGGGUGAUGAAGGCCUUCGGGUUGUAAAGCACUUUUGGCAGGAGAAGAAACGGCACGGGAUAAUACUCCCGUGCAACUGACGGUACCUGCAGAAUAAGCACCGGCUAACUAUACGCGCCAGCAGCCGCGGUAAUACGUAGGGUGCAAGCGUUAAUCGGAAUACUAUAAAGCGUGCGCAGGCGGUUCGGAAAGAAAGAUAAUCCCAGAGCUUAACUUUCUGGAAUUGCAUUUUUAACUACCGGAGCUAGAGUGUCAGAGGGAGGUGGAAUUCCGCGUGUAGCAGUGAAAUGCGUAGAUAUGCGUGGAGGAACACCGAUGGCGAAGGCAGCCUCCUGGGAUAACACUGACGCUCAUGCACGAAAGCGUGCGGGGAGCAAACAGGAUUAGAUACCCUGGUAGUCCACGCCCUAAACGAUGUCAACUAGCUGUUGGGGCCUUCGGGCCUUGGUAGCGCAGCUAACGCGUGAAGUUGACCGCCUGGGGAGUACGGUCGCAAGAUUAAAAACUCGGAAGGAAUUGACGGGGACCCGCACAAGCGGUGGAUGAUGUGGAUUAAUUCGAUGCAAACGCGAAAAAAAAAACCUUACCUACCCCUGACAUGUCUGGAAUCCCGAAGAGAUUUGGGAGUGCUCGCAAGAGAACCGGAACACAGGUGCUGCAUGGCUGUCGUCAGCUCGUGUCGAGAUGUUGGGUUAAGUCCCGCAACGAGCAACCCUCAAGUCAUUAGUUGCUACGAAAGGGCACUCUAAUGAGACUGCCGGUGACAAACCGGAGGAAGGUGGGGAUGGCGACGUCAAGUCCUCAUGGCCCUUAUGGGUAGGGCUUUCACACGUCAUACAAUGGUCGGGACAGGGUCGCCAACCCGCGAGGGGAGCCAAUCCCAGAAACCCGAUCGUAGUCCGGAUCGCAGUCUGCAACUCGACUGCGUGAAGUCGGAAUCGCUAGUAAUCGCGGAUCAGCAUGUCGCGGUGAAUACGUUCCCGGGUCUUGUACACACCGCCCGUCACACCAUGGGAGUGGGUUUUACCAGAAGUAGUUAGCCUAACCGUAAGGAGGGCGAUUACCACGGUAGGAUUCAUGACUGGGGUGAAGUCGUAACAAGGUAG
rnacentral:rRNA from 1 species